GACGAACGCUGGCGGCGUGCUUAACACAUGCAAGUCGAACGGAAAGGCCCUGCUUUUGUGGGGUGCUCGAGUGGCGAACGGGUGAGUAACACGUGAGUAACCUGCCCUUGACUUUGGGAUAACUUCAGGAAACUGGGGCUAAUACCGGAUAGGAGCUCCUGCUGCAUGGUGGGGGUUGGAAAGUUUCGGCGGUUGGGGAUGGACUCGCGGCUUAUCAGCUUGUUGGUGGGGUAGUGGCUUACCAAGGCUUUGACGGGUAGCCGGCAUGAGAGGUUGAACGGCCACAUUGGGACUGAGAGACGGACCAGACUGCUACGGGAGGCAGCAGUGGGGAAUAUUGCACAAUGGGCGGAAGCCUGAUGCAGCAACGCCGGGUGCGGGAUGACGGCCUUCGGGUGGUAAACCGCUUUCGCCUGUGACGAAGCGUGAGUGACGGUAAUGGGUAAAGAAGCACCGGCUAACUACGUG
rnacentral:rRNA from 1 species